GGGGGCACUCAUAGUGAGCUGGUCUCUAGACUUAAGGAUUCCAACUCAGCAGCUGCAUAGAGUGCUGCAGCAGCAGGACUUGCACUGAUAUCGAGUUUCUUGGAUACCAUACCACGGAGAGUCAGUUAACAACCUACGGGUUGAUUUGUUUGUGCAAGGAGGAAACCUUGCUGUUCUUUACAGGAUCGGGCAUUAUAGAGUUAUACACAAUCAUGAAGGAACCCUGCUCACACUUGAAACAGACCAAGAUAUUCUGACCCGUUUCCCUGAAGCGACCUGGAAAACUUUGGAAAAGGUGGAUGGAGAGGGUUUUUACUUGACAAGCCGAUUCAGCACCACCAAAAGGCAACCAAACAUCGCAAAUGCAAGUUUCUGUUUUUUCAUUUUUUAUUUUACAACCAAAGAAAGUAUGUUGGGAGAACUAGCACGCUGCCGUGAUGGCAUUAGGAAGGCAGUUGAGCUGGCCUAGAAUGAUUCAUUGACCCAGUCAUAGUUAAUCUGGUUUAAGAAACAUAUACAAACUGAGCUACCAAUUAAUACAGAUUUUCUUUCUGGAGUGCGUGUCGUCAUAAUGUCAGCUGUUCUACUGAUUUAAGUUUUCUUUGUGCAAUUUCCCCUUUUUGGCCCAUCCAAAUGAAAAUGAUACAAAUAGGCAAGGAAUCAGCAUUGAGUUUGAAAGCAAAGGUUUU